GGGUGAGUAACGCGUGGGUAACCUGCCUCAUACAGGGGAAUAACAGUUGGAAACGGCUGCUAAAACCGCAUAAGCGCACAGUAUCGCAUGAUACAGUGUGAAAAACUCCGGUGGUAUGAGAUGGACCCGCGUCUGAUUAGCUAGUUGGUGAGGUAACGGCCCACCAAGGCAACGAUCAGUAGCCGGCCUGAGAGGGUGAACGGCCACAUUGGGACUGAGACACGGCCCAAACUCCUACGGGAGGCAGCAGUGGGGAAUAUUGCACAAUGGGGGAAACCCUGAUGCAGCGACGCCGCGUGAGUGAUGAAGUAUUUCGGUAUGUAAAGCUCUAUCAGCAGGGAAGAUAAUGACGGUACCUGACUAAGAAGCACCGGCUAAAUACGUGCCAGCAGCCGCGGUAAUACGUAUGGUGCAAGCGUUAUCCGGAUUUACUGGGUGUAAAGGGUGCGUAGGUGGUGAGACAAGUCUGAAGUGAAAAUCCGGGGCUU
rnacentral:rRNA from 1 species